GAAAAACUCCGGUGGUAUAAGAUGGACCCGCGUUGGAUUAACUAGUUGGUGAGGUAACGGCCCACCAAGGCGACGAUCCAUAGCCGACCUGAGAGGGUGACCGGCCACAUUGGGACUGAGACACGGCCCAAACUCCUACGGGAGGCAGCAGUGGGGAAUAUUGCACAAUGGGCGAAAGCCUGAUGCAGCGACGCCGCGUGAGCGAAGAAGUAUUUCGGUAUGUAAAGCUCUAUCAGCAGGGAAGAUAAUGACGGUACCUGACUAAGAAGCACCGGCUAAAUACGUGCCAGCAGCCGCGGUAAUACGUAUGGUGCAAGCGUUAUCCGGAUUUACUGGGUGUAAAGGGAGCGCAGGCGGUGCGGCAAGUCUGAUGUGAAAGCCCGGGGCUCAACCCCGGUACUGCAUUGGAAACUGUCGUACUAGAGUGUCGGAGGGGUAAGCGGAAUUCCUAGUGUAGCGGUGAAAUGCGUAGAUAUUAGGAGGAACACCAGUGGCGAAGGCGGCUUACUGGACGAUAACUGACGCUGAGGCUCGAAAGCGUGGGGAGCAAACAGGAUUAGAUACCCUGGUAGUCCACGCCGUA
rnacentral:rRNA from 1 species